rnacentral:ribozyme from 1 species
UUUUUUUUUUUUUUUUUUUUUUUUUUUUUUUUUUUUUGUAUUCUGAUUAUUAUUUGUAAUGUUACUUUAAACUUGUACAAAAAAAGAGAGAGAGAGAAAGACAGAUAUCUUGUAUG